rnacentral:rRNA from 1 species
GAUGAACGCUGGCGGCGUGCCUAAUACAUGCAAGUCGAGCGAACAGACGAGGAGCUUGCUCCUCUGACGUUAGCGGCGGACGGGUGAGUAACACGUGGAUAACCUACCUAUAAGACUGGGAUAACUUCGGGAAACCGGAGCUAAUACCGGAUAAUAUAUUGAACCGCAUGGUUCAAUAGUGAAAGACGGUUUUGCUGUCACUUAUAGAUGGAUCCGCGCCGCAUUAGCUAGUUGGUAAGGUAACGGCUUACCAAGGCGACGAUGCGUAGCCGACCUGAGAGGGUGAUCGGCCACACUGGAACUGAGACACGGUCCAGACUCCUACGGGAGGCAGCAGUAGGGAAGCUUCCGCAAUGGGCGAAAGCCUGACGGAGCAACGCCGCGUGAGUGAUGAAGGUCUUCGGAGCGUAAAACUCUGUUAUUAGGGAAGAACAAAUGUGUAAGUAACUAUGCACGUCUUGACGGUACCUAAUCAGAAAGCCACGGCUAACUACGUG